CCUACGGGAGGCAGCAGUGGGGAAUAUUGGGCAAUGGGCGCAAGCCUGACCCAGCAACGCCGCGUGAAGGAAGAAGGCUUUCGGGUUGUAAACUUCUUUUCUCAGGGACGAAGAAAGUGACGGUACCUGAGGAAUAAGCCACGGCUAACUACGUGCCAGCAGCCGCGGUAAUACGUAGGUGGCAAGCGUUAUCCGGAUUUAUUGGGUGUAAAGGGCGUGUAGGCGGGAGCGCAAGUCAGAUGUGAAAACUCAGGGCUCAACCCUGAGCCUGCAUUUGAAACUGUGUUUCUUGAGUGCUGGGGAGGCAAUCGGAAUUCCGGGUGUAGCGGUGAAAUGCGUAGAUAGACGGAGGAACACCAGUGGCGAAGGCGGAUUGCUGGACAGUAACUGACGCUGAGGCGCGAAAGCGUGGGGAGCAAACAGGAUUAGAUACCCGUGUAGUC
rnacentral:rRNA from 1 species